UGGGGAAUUUUCCGCAAUGGGCGAAAGCCUGACGGAGCAACGCCGCGUGAGGGAGGAAGGCCUUCGGGUUGUAAACCUCUUUUCUCAGGGAAGAAGUUCUGACGGUACCUGAGGAAUCAGCCUCGGCUAACUCCGUGCCAGCAGCCGCGGUAAGACGGAGGAGGCAAGCGUUAUCCGGAAUUAUUGGGCGUAAAGCGUCCGUAGGUGGUUAUUCAAGUCUUUUGUUAAAGGAUGGAGCUUAACUUCAUUUAGGCGGAAGAAACUGAAUGACUAGAGGAUGGUAGGGGUAGAGGGAAUUCCAGGUGUAGCGGUGAAAUGCGUAGAUAUCUGGAAGAACACCAGUGGCGAAGGCGCUCUACUGGGCCAUUACUGACACUGAGGGACGAAAGCUAGGGGAGCGAAAG
rnacentral:rRNA from 1 species